GACAAAUACAGCAAAUACAUCAUCCUGCGUCAGUGGAAAAUUUACCAGUCCGUCAAAAAGACCCACAGAAGAUCUGAAUUUGUAGACAAUGACUUUAAUCUACAUGAUCACAGUUCUGGGAGCAGUAGCUUUGGCUACAGGGACAAUUGAAUGUAAUUUAACUCGACCUACUGAAACCCAGCAGUGUUUUGGAGAAGCUGGGAAGCCACUCAUUUUUCACCUACCAACCAAUGCAUCUACAAAAAUAAGUUUACUAAGGAAUAACGAAAUCAUUUUAAAAUACAGUGGUAAUAAAUUAAUUCAAAUUAAUUCCAAAUACAAAAUUGACCGCACAUUCUUCCAAAAUGGAAAAUUGCUGGUUGACAAGAUGAUAAAAAAUCACUCUGGAGACUAUCAGCUGCAAAUGUAUUCACUUGCCAGUGGUGCACUGUUACAGAAAAUCAACUUCCAUUUAAAAAUUCUAGCUCCAGUGUCAGAACCAGCCGUGUCUCAGACAUGUUUGACAGCAGAGCAGAUGACAUUCAGCUGCUCAGCUGAGGGAGAUGAAGCAGAAU